GAUGUGCAGCACUAUAUAUGUGUGUUGGGGGGGGGAGAGGUGAAUUUCGAAAGGAGGAAAAAACCCACCCUGUUUUAUCACAAAUUUUAGGCAAUACGCAAAAGAUGUCAGCUCUCCUGCAGGCAAUGGGAGAUAUCAAAGCUGAAGUGGCUAAGGUGGAGCACUUUGACAGUCUGGUCAAGAAGCUGAAAGCAAGUGUCCAGAAUGCAAUGAAAGGAAGAAUCUGAAGGCGAGAAAAGCCAUCAUAUUUAGGACUGGGAUUCAGCAGCCCAAGAAUUUGCCAGCCAGGAUGAAAAACUUCUAAUGGAAUCCAGCUUGAAAGCAAGUCAAGAGCAGCUAAGUGAGGAAAGAGCAGAACCAAGUUCGCCCCGACCAGUAGAAAAUCACAGACAGAACUGAAGCCACUGAGCGAACGCAUUAUAGAUUCUCAUGAAGAAAUUAGUGAUUACAAGGAGCUUGGAGCACCAUACAUGGGCCUCGUUGCAUUCUCACAACAAUCCUGUGAGGUAUUCACUGUGAGAUUUAUGAAGGCUCCCCAAGAGCUGUUGCACGUGUAAUCGAAACUACCGUGGAGCACGGAGAAGCAAGUCAUGAGGCUGCAAAAAGCUAAGCGCAAACUUGGAAGCAAAUGCACAGAGUCUUAAACAGAGGAAGAAGGACACUCAGAUGGCCUCUAUUGCUACCCUUGUGAUCCAGCUUGCAAUUGUGAAAUGUGGCCCAUGGUUAUUGCAUACUUCUGUGAACUUUUAACACUUUGAAUGGAUUAGAGUGUCUUAUUUUGAUUACAUCCACAUUGUUCGCUGUGAUAAGAUUAGGUUCUUUAGUCAUUAAAAAGAAAUGUUUGGCUUAAAUCCAUUGAAUUCAGGCAUGCAGUGAGUGGAAAAAACUAGACUGCAGCUCUUCAUAUUGUGCAUAUGUGACACAUGUUAGCAAUUAAUCAAACUAUAGUCACCUCUAAUUAACAGCAAUACUAAAGCCAAAAUAUGGCAGAAACAGAUGACAAAAGAAUUGAGCGGAUAGAAUACUGAGAGAGGAAAAUAUAUUCCAGGAACACUGAAAGAUUUUUAACUGUGCUGUGGCUCUCUUAAUGGCUGUCAAUAUUUAAGCAGUUAUUAGAGAGCUUUUCCUACAUUGGUGCAACUUCUGAAAGAUUUAUUGGUUGUAUAGAUUUGCAGUGAUGGUAUAUAUGUAAUGACAGAAUGGAGUAAACAUACACAUACCUGUUUUGAGGCUUCAGAACAUGGCAUACUGAGGGAAAGGCUUGAAAGUGGGGUUGAUGAUUCUCUUUACAACAGCAACAGACUGUACAAAAAGUAUAGUAAUUUAAUUCACUGAAAUUAUAAAUGCUUUCAUAUAUUACUAUGUGUUUGAAUUUGAUUGGUUGGUAACUGAAUUCUAGAGAGUUCUCUAGCAGUUCUCAUAUGAUUGGCUAAUGUUGGUCGCAUAAGAUAUUUAGUGAAGGAGAGACUCCAUUUAUGUCAAAGUCUGGACAUUGGUUUAAUUUCCAAAGAAGGGUGUCAGUCAUAUACUUGAUUUGAGGUUCUCAGCUACGAUUUUGCUACCCUUAUUUCAACACUGUUACAUCUGUAUAGGACUACUACAUACCACACAUAGUUAAACAAUGAAAUUCUCUCCCACAAGAGCUAGUACAGUGGUACCUCUGGUUGCGAACGGGAUCCGUUCCGGAGGCCCGUUCUCAACAUGAAAAGAGCC